rnacentral:snRNA from 1 species
AUACUUACCUGGCAGAGGGGAUACCAUGAUCACCAAGGUUAUUCUCCCGGAACAAGGGUCCUCCACCCAACUCCAGACUUGUUGACUGCGAUUUCCCCAAUUUAGGAAACUCAACUGGGGAAUUCGUGCUCAUUGGAGGACUGCACAUAUAAACCUGGCCCGAGACAGAUAUGGGCCCACUCCAG